CAGUCGAAAAAGAACCGAAAAACGAAGCCGCCUUCGGUUUGAUUUUGAAGGCGGCAAAUAACCGCAAUUCCGUGGAGUUACAGUGCCCACUCAGCUAGUUUUUACCGAGCCACGACGUGCAAUAAGCACCGAAAUGGUACGUGCAAAUAUAUAUUAUAUAUUUCAAAUAAAAUGAUGAGCAAAAGGCAUUUGCGUAGACUCCGUAAGAGUGAAAGGGAAGCUAACAUUGCAAAGUUAGCGUUGUGCAGGAAAGAUAACAGAUAACAGCAAUGAAAUCGAUUCUCCAGCCAGCUGGCGUUUUGAGCGGCUUAAACUUUAUUUUGAGUGAGGAAAUUGUUCUAGCCUAUAACGUAAGGGAAGAAGGCCCUUAGGACCCACAAAGAAUUUUUUGCAGCUUUGCUAGAAUGUAUUCCGCCUGGCGAUGAGCCCCCGAAAACACUGUGCGGAAGGCAAUGCAAAGGAUGAAGAAAAGGGUGUUUAAGAAGAAGUGUCUUGCCAAAAACCAGGAGUAGGCUAAGCAUCAUAUAAUUAAAAAUUAUUCGUUAUAAUGAAA